GGGUGAGUAACACGUGGAUAACCUACCUAUAAGACUGGGAUAACUUCGGGAAACCGUAGCUAAUACCGGAUAAUAUUUUGAACCGCAUGGUUCAAAAGUGAAAGACGGUCUUGCUGUCACUUAUAGAUGGAUCCGCGCUGCAUUAGCUAGUUGGUAAGGUAACGGCUUACCAAGGCAACGAUGCAUAGCCGACCUGAGAGGGUGAUCGGCCACACUGGGACCGAGACACGGCCCAG
rnacentral:rRNA from 1 species